UAUUGGUCCACCACUAGUACCGACGCAAAUCAAGGAAGAACCAAAAAGUUUGCGGAAAAGUGCAACAAUUAAUUUCCCCCGCCACCAAAAUGCAUAUGCAUCCGAUUAAAAUGCACUGCGUAUGACGACAGUUUUCCGAUCGAGCUAACUGCAGUUUGGUUUUUCCUCGUGUGCGUGUGCGAGUGGGAAAAACGCGUGUCCAGGAAAAACGCGCCAACGAGAAUAAGAUUACUACCGCCCACUAACUGCGCCCGCCUUUCGAUCACGCGCGCCUAUUUUCCACUCUUAUUAAAUGAUAAUGGUGCGCAGACGACAACGGCCCGCCAAGGAACCCACUUCCUCCUCCGGCGGCGCCUCAUCGGGAUCAGGACUUCCGGUCGACCAAACGUUGCCCCUGAAUGUGGCGGGAAAUCUGCUGGAGGAUCAGUAUUUUGCCAGCCCGAAGCGGAAAGACUGCCGACUAAUGAAGGUCAACGAAAAUGGACAGCUGCCGGAAGCCACAAUGGCCCACAAAGGCCACCACAAAGACAACAAAGCGGGUCGCACAAUAGGGGUACCUUUGGCCACCCGCUCGCAAACGCGCACCAUUGAGAACUUUUUUAAAGCCAAUGCUGCCGUCAAGGAUGCCCAAAAGACAAUACCCACAGAGGAACAGGAGCUAGAAUUGCAGAAUGAUCAGCUAAAUCUGCAGGGUGAGCAGCUAAACCUAGAGGACGAGGAGCUAAAUCUGCAAGAUGAGCAGCUUCAACAUACGGUUGAACACCUGCCCUUCGCAGAUGAAGAAGAUGCUAAGGCAGAGCAAAAGCUGAGAGACGAGGAACUGCAGCAGGUGGUGGAAGAGCUGCUGUUCGAUGGCAGCUCCAGAGCCUCCUCAGACUCGCCCUGUUAUCGGCAUGAAAUGGAAGCCAUGCAGGAUAUCCCGGAAAUCCCUCAAAUCCCCCACAUCAAAGAGAUCAGCGAGCCCCACGAAGGACUGGGCUCCCUGGCCGACUUUCAGACACAUCGCUCCGCACUGAGGGACAGUCAUAGUUCCACGCACAGCAGCAGCACCGACAACAUCUUCCUGCAGGAGCCCGUGCUGACCCUGGACAUAGACCGCACGCCCACCAAAGCCUCCAGCAUAAAGAUCAAUCGGAGUUUUGAACUAGCGGGAGCCGUGUUCUCAUCUCCCCCAUCGGUGCUAAAUGCCUGCCUUAAUGGGCGCUUUAAUCAAAUAGUAAGCCUGAAUGGUCAAAAGGAACCGCUAGCUGGGCCGAAUUUCGAUUUGGAUCAGCACGACAGCAGUUCCUGUGACAGCGGCGUGGCCUGUGGCCUCACUGCCAACACAGAAUCGCCAGCAGGAGCAGUUAGACGCCGGAAGCCAGCCACUCCGCAUCGUAUACUGUGCCCCUCACCCAUCAAGACGGGUCUGAAGGUCACCGGAGGAAUUUGCAAGGUCGGAUCCUCAGAUCCGCUGUCGCCGCGCAAGUCGCCAAGGAAAUUGCCCGUCACCACAGCGGCGGUGGCCGCCUGCAAGUCGCGCCGAAGACUGAACCAGCCAAAGCCACAAGCGCCUUACCAGCCACAGCCACAGCUACAGAAACCACAGCCACAACAGCAGCAGCAGGAUGAUAUCGUAGUGGUGCUAGACGACGACGAUGAUGAGGAAGAGGACGAGGACGAUGUACAUGCCCUGCUCAAAGCCGCCGAAGAGCGGGAGAACCAGAACAAAGCACCAGCCACAGCCAACAGCAACAAAGCGAGCAUGAAAACCAUGCUCAAGCCAGCGCCCGUAAAAUCAAAGACCAAAAGCAAGGGCUCAUCAAAGAGCCAACCUCCGCUGCCCUUGGCGGCCACCAAUGGCAACCGUGAGAUGACAGACUUCUUCCCGGUCCGAAGGAGCGUACGCAAGACGAAGACAGCUGUCAAGGAGGAAUGGAUGAGGAGUUUGGAGCAGGCGGUCCUCGAGGAGCGUUGCGAGGGCCUCCAAGUCCGCCACUUUAUGGGCAAGGGAAGAGGAGUAGUCGCCGAACGGCCCUUCAAACGGAACGAGUUUGUGGUCGAGUAUGUGGGAGAUCUUAUCUCCAUCAAUGAGGCAGCCGAUCGGGAGAAACGCUAUGCGCUAGACGAGAAUGCCGGGUGCUAUAUGUACUACUUUAAGCACAAGACCCAGCAGUACUGCAUCGAUGCCACGGUCGACACCGGCAAGCUAGGACGUCUUAUCAAUCACUCGCGUAACGGCAACCUUAUGACCAAGGUGGUGCUCAUCAAGCAGCGGCCUCAUCUCGUGCUCCUGGCCAAGGACGACAUCGAGCCGGGCGAGGAACUGACCUACGAUUAUGGGGAUCGCUCCAAGGAGUCGCUGCUGCACCAUCCCUGGUUAGCCUUUUGAGGAAGAGCUUUCCAGGAGCUCGCGAAAGGGGAUGCGGUUCAGCCUUAAAACAAAGACUAUUUACCAUGUUCGAGGCAUACAAUCUUUAACAUAAGACCAGGGCGAAACUGGUUUUUGGCUCGAGGGAUUCCUUCUUAGCUUUUAUACGUAGAUUGCCACGCCUUGAAUCAUAACAAAAUUGUUUUUAGCCCUGUUCCCAUUGCUAUUAUUUGUCGGAAUUGGAUUUACUUAAUAAUUUCCGUUAUUCUUGGUACGACCAAUUUAAUCAAUUUUAAUUCCGGCAAUUUAAAUCAGAGUGGAACAAAGAACGCGGCCUGUUUUGGGCAUCCCCGAGCUUAGAUCUUAUUUGAGGAAAAGUAUGAAAACUGUUAGUUCAAAAUAUCAUAACGGAUAGCGGCACCCACACACCCCUCACUAUACGGUGGCUCUGGCUAGGGAAGGAUAGUAAUCAAUGUAAAUUCUAACAAGUUUGCCUCAGAAAUUGGUCUAAUGUCAAUUUCGGUCUUUUCCGUUUCCUAAAGACGUUACAAAACAAGAUGCAACUUUCCUUGGUUCAUUAAUAUAAUCGAAAUUAAUUAAUAAGAACAAAAUCAUCAAAAAGACCUAGACUUUAGAGAUUGUAAAUUGAUAUUAGACCCAUUAUCCCAAAAGCAAAAUGCCUUAAAAUUGUACGAUUACGAUUCACCCCUAAGAUUCCUUGACCCACCCGUGCCCCACACACUCAUGAGCAUAAUUAUUUGGAUUUGUUAGCGUUUCAUUAUGUUAAAGCAAGGCUAAAGUUAAGGAGAGAUAAUAAUAAUAAUUAAAAACAACGCGCUUAAGCAUUAAGGCAUCUUAAGAUAAUUGAAUGAAAAAGAAAAACUGUUGACCAUUUAGAGAGAUGAUGAUGAUUUUCAUGAAAAUGUUAAUGAAGACACACAUUCACAUUGAUAAAAAUCGAUCGAACACUAUUUAUAGAUAUUUAUAUUAGAUACAUGUGUAAUUUCUAACUAUUACGUACUAUUUACUGCCAUAGAGCUAUACAUCCCCUCGCACCUGCCCCGAACCCCUAGGAACUGACACGAAAUCGUUGAUUUAAAUCAUAGACACACUCAUUAAUUCACGAGGCUUCUCCAGGAGAGUAGUGGACUGCUGGACACCUAGUGCUUCAAUUUACGAAUAAUCUCUCUACUCACACGCAGGUUUCAAUCACACAGUCACUCGUAAACCCAUAUUUUAUACAUACUUAAUUAUAGAAACCCUCGCCCCGUCCCACAAAUCCGGCUUCUAUAUUUUAGCGACAGAAAGUUCAAUUUUUGUGUUGUCCCACCCCUUACCCAGAUAUAUGUAUUUUAAUGAAUGCUCCAAUAUUGAUGGAUUUCGUUUUUCAAAUAGGUUUAUUUUUAUCUGCGCAUAUCUUUUAAUUAUACAAUAUGGUAAAUAUAUUUGAAUAUGUUCUAGUACAUAGUUAAUUCAUUUAUUUAAAUCAAGCAGCAACCAUCUAUAAUCAUGUUCUUGUUUUUACCUUUUUUCAUUGACUUGGCAAAAUAAAACAAAACAAAUGGAAAUCUAUUUGUAAUUUACAUUUAAGUCUAAAAACAUAUGAUUACAUCAAA